AAGGACCUUCACGCCAAUGAGAACUUCUGAAUGGGCGUGAAUCCAGUUUCUUCCCUUUGGGGGCAAGAAUCACAGCUGCUCAAAUAAAGAACAUGGUGAACUCAUUACUUUGGUUCAUCAAAAUCAUCACCCACGGGUUAUCCCUGAGAGCAUUUUCUCAUGAGUUUUUGAUUGCUUCCUUCUCCUCUUCUCUUAAAAGUUGUGGGCUUAAGAACAGGAUAGAGACAAUGGCGACCUCUGAACCUUCUUGAUUAAGAACACAGGUAGACAUAAAUCCCAAUUGCCUAUUACUCUCUUAUUUAUAUGAUUUGAGAAAUUACAGCACGUGAAAUAUUUCUGGGGAGCCUCAAUGAUUGGGUACAAGGAACAAGAGUACAGAAAUUAUUUUCGCCAAAUUUAUUUUGUACAUAUAAGAGGGUCUGUACGUAAAUUAAAAACAUGUAGAUCUAGGUAUUUUGUUCUUUUCAUAGUAAAUUUAAAGCAAACAUGUACAUGUAAAAUUGUGUCAGAAAAUUAAUUUACUAGCUGAUUUUAAUUUUUAUUAACAACAGUAAUAUUUGAUAUAUACCUUAGAGCUCAUUUAGUGUUCACUCUUAGAAAAGAAAGAGGCCUUUCCAAGAUGACUUUCAUAGAUGUGAUUCUGGAUUAUUUAGGAUGCUUCUACCAAGGUGAUUGAAAACUUAAACAUCUCUUGCUUAAACAAUAAGAAUAGGAUGUCAGGGAAUAUGGCAGAGAACUCUAAAAGUGUGUCCUUCCAAAAAAGUAAAAAAAUUAAGGGGAAGUGGGCGGGGGGAUGGGGUAAUUGGGUGAUGGGCAUUAAGGAGGGCACUUGAUGUAAUGAGCACUGGGUAUUACAUGCAACCGAUGAGUGACUAAGUUCUAUCCCUGAAACUAAUAAUACACUAUAUGUUAAUGAAAUUGAAUUUAAAUAAAAAAUUAAAACAUAAGCUAGAUCCAAAAUGUCAGAAUUAACUUUUUUCAGAAUUAUGACAUUUAAUCAAAAGCUUAUAACAAGGGAGGGGAACCUGGGUGGCUCAGUCAGUUAAGCAUCUGCCUUCAGCUAAAGUCAUGAUCCCAGAGUCCUGAGAUCAAGCCCCACAUUGGGCUCCCUGCUCAGUGGGGAGCCUGGUUCUCCCUCUCCCUCUGCAGCUUCCUCCUGCUUGUGCUCUCUCUCUCUUUCUCUGUCAAUAAAUAAUAAAAUAAAAUCAUUAAAAAAAAAAAAGCUUACAACAGGGAAAUGCUUAAUGGCAUUUAAGGAAUUUAAAAAAAUUCCUAGCUGAUCACUAAGCUAAUGGAACAAAGACUUCAGUGGCCACCCAUGACAAAGACUACAGAAUAUACAUGAUUUGAUCAGAAAAUGCACUAAGCAAACUAACAACAAUUAUAAUAAGCAGCAACAACAAACACUGGGUUGGGGGAGAGCUUGAUUCCCAUAGAUAUCAUAUUAUGUAUUCCAAAUAUUAAGUUUUCAACAAAAAAUAACAAGGCAUACAAAGAGACAAAAUAGGAUGGUCCAUACAUAGGAAAAAAUAAUUAAUAAGAAUAGCCCUAAUAGAAUAAUUAAAAUUAAUUAAUAAGAAUAGGAAGGCUUCAGGGUUGCUAGACAAAUGCUUUAUCUGGUUGUUGCUGUUCACAUUCCUUUGUUGAGCGUAUACCUUCAUAAGGUUUUUAGCAGAUAUAUGUUGAAUAUUGAUGUUUCAUGGUCAAGAUACAAUCAGAGACCAUAGAUACUGACAACCAAUUUGUCUAUUCUGCUUUUUUCCCCCAAGACUGUAUCUAUUGAUUUAUCUUGAUUUCUAAGCAAAACCUAGAAAACCUACAAAAUUAAGUGUUUUUUGGUUUACCUAUGAAUAAUACAGAAAAUACUGUUAUUAUUUUUGUGAAGAACAUCAAUUUUAUGUAGUUUAUUUCAACUUAAAUGUCAAUUUUGUUUUAAAAAACAAGGAUAGAAAAAGAUGACCCAGCAUUUCCAUUCUUAGAUAUUUAUUCAAAAAAAUUGAAUAUAGGUCUCCAAACCAAAAUUUGUAUAUGCAUAACUAUAGCAGAACUGUGCCUAAUGGCCAAAAGUGGAAACAAUACCCCAAUAUCCAGCAACUGAAAGUGGAUGAACAAAAUAUGGUUUAUCUAUGUGAUGGAAUGUGAUUCAGCCAUUAAAAGAAAUGAAUUGCUGAUAUAUUUAUAAACUUUGAAAAUGUUAUGCUAAGUGAAAGAAACUAGACACAAAGGGAACAGAUAUUUUAUGAUUACAUUGAUAUGAAAUGUCCAGAACAGGUAGAUCUCUAGAUAGAAAGUAGAUUCAUGGUUGCCACAGCUGGAUUUAGGGUGGAAUGGAGAGUAACUGUUUAAUUAGUAUGGGAUUUCCUUUGGGAUGAUGAAAAUAUUCUGGCAAUAGCCAGUAGUGAUAAUUGUACAGCAUUGUGAGUUUACUAAAACCCACUGAACUGUACCCUUUAAGGUCGUGAAUUUUAUAUUAUUUGAAUUUUACUUUAGUUCAAAAAAUAGUUAAUUAUCUCCCACAACAAUGUCAAGAACCACCCUGGUUCAAGGAUUAAAAGGUAAUAACCUCAUCAAUACUUGAGGAGUUGUAGAUUUACUCUCAUAGUGAGACGAUUCUCUCCAUGGUCAUAGACAAUCCUAUUCUUGGCCAAAAAUGUCCAAAUGCAGUAAGAGAAAAAAUUCCCAUAUUAUAAUCCUUUUACAAUACAGGCAUUUCCUUCCAGAUGCUCCAAGCCAACUAUGGGUCAGGGUUGCAAUAAAGUCCUUGACUUAGCCAUGCUUUGAGCCAUGUCAUGAUUAUGUUCUAUUCCUUUCCCAUUGGUCUUACCACGAGAGGAAAAGUUUAUUUCACCUGAGUCCAUGAGAUGGUAAACACCCAAACACAACUUAGCUUCUACCGUCAAGAAACCCUGAAGGUGGGGAGGUGAGAAAGAAGAGGUUGCUUUUUAAGCAUGAGCCUUCAAUCUCUAAUUUGAAUGCUCUCUUUUUCAAUUUUUGCUCUCCACUAGCUGCUCCUAUUCCUGAAUAAAAUCCAAUUUAGAAACAGUGCCAGAGAGCACAUGUCCUUAGAUAAGGAAAGAAGCCAUCUGAUGCAGUGUGAUAUCCUGAACACUGAAUUCUUCUGCUGGUCUUGGGCUCCUGGGUAAAAUGAGAGAGUUUGGCUCUAAUAGUCUAUAUGAUCAAGGCUUGGUCAUCAAUGAAGAGAUGAUAG
rnacentral:lncRNA from 1 species